UGCUCGUCGCCUGAACUUGUACUCAACCUCGUCAAUAGAUGAGCGCAGGUGAGCAAAGUUUCAGGUGUGCGAGCUA
rfam:Pristionchus pacificus strain PS312 contig8423, whole genome shotgun sequence.